rnacentral:rRNA from 1 species
GAUGAACGCUGGCGGCGUGCCUAAUACAUGCAAGUCGAGCGAACGGACGAGAAGCUUGCUUCUCUGAUGUUAGCGGCGGACGGGUGAGUAAAACGUGGAUAACCUACCUAUAAGACUGGGAUAACUUCGGGAAACCGGAGCUAUUACCGGAUGAUCUUUUGAACCGCAUGGUUCAAAAGUGAAAGACGGUCUUGCUGUCACUUAUAGAUGGAUCCGCGCUGCAUUAGCUAUUUGGUAAGGUAACGGCUUACCAAGGCAACGAUGCAUAGCCGACCUGAGAGAGUGAUCGGCCACACGGGAACGGAGACACGGUCCAGACUCCUACGGGAGGCAGCAGUAGGGAAUCUUCCGCAAUGGGCGAAAGCCUGACGGAGCAACGCCGCGUGAGUGAUGAAGGUCUUCGGAUCGUAAAACUCUGUUAUUAGGGAAGAACAUAUGUGUAAGUAACUGGGCACAUCUUGACGGUACCUAAUCAGAAAGCCACGGCUAACUACGUG